ACGUGGGCGAGCGAGCGCGCUGCUCCCACCCGGCCGCCCAUUAACGCUUUCUCCCGUGGGCGCCGCGCUCUUGCCAACUUUCCCCUCCGUCCGGUCUGCGCGCGGCGCGCCGGGUGCAGGAGCUGGGGUGAGGGCGCCCCGGGUGCCAGCAGGGGCGCCGGGAGCUGUUUGGGCGGGGACGUAGGGCUCCGGGAGGUCACACAGCCCUAACAGGACAGUGGGAAGGCGCGCGAGCCAGAUUUGGCCAAACGCUAAGCUCGCUGCGGCCUCGGGCCCUCGGCCCACGGGGCCCCUCUCCCCGUUUGGGCUGCCCCACCCAGGGACGCUUGGGCCGGGCGCGAAGAGCCCGGAAAUAGCCACCCUUGUCGUCGGCCCGGUUUCCCUCCGAGGUCUUAGUAUUUCCCCCCUCCCCCACCCCCCAAGGCCUGUGGAGGGCGAGGCUGCUGCUCCAGCCAACCCUCGGAAUUGGCUGCAGGGCGCUCAGGUCCUGCCUUUCUUCCCCUGCCCCUCUCCCAAGCCCCUCCGUGCUAAGCGGCCCAGUUCUGGGUUCUCUCCUGGUGCCCACGCUAGUCCCUACCCGGCUCACUCUCAAAACAGCAGGCUGUGGCAGGGGCAAAGCCUAGGUGUGGGCACCAGGACCCGGGCAAGUGGGUGCGAAUGGACCACAGUGAUAAGCCGCCCGAGGACCAAUGAGUCUGUGACCUGCCCGGGCUAAGGGGGGCAUGCCCUGGUGGGGAGCCUGGUCCCAGCCGCCAGGGUUAGGGGAGGGCAUGGGGGCUGGACCUCUGGCCUGGGGUCAGACUAGGGCUGGAGGGUCUUCCGCUUCUGCAGCCUGAGGCCAGGACCCAGUCAGGGAAGAGCCGCUGCUCUGCAGAGGUCAAGACAGGCCCGGAAGGGAAGCUGGAGCAGCAGGUGACCGGCUGCCCAGGAUGAAGAAACGGUGUCCAUAAUACUGAAAUGCAUCAGCAAUUUUAAGAAGGCCUCAUUAUUAAAAGCGAAAGGCUAUUAGUUCCAGCAGUGUCUGCAGUCUGUAUAUUUAAAUUUGAAAUGUUUACCUGGCACAACCUCAAAUCAUGAGAACCCCAGCUAGAAGAGACAUCCACAUGAGAUUAAGUUAUUUUAAAUUGUAGAAAAAGGCAGCAGUAUGUACGACUGCCAAGUGACUUGAAUAUUGUUUUGAAUUAUUUGAUGUAGCAUUAAGAAAACCUUCAGUAGGUAGAGAAGAAAUGUAUAAGUAUAUCUUAAAUGCAAUUACUCUUUGCAUAUUGCUAUAUGUGGUAGGAACCUCAAAAAUACCGAACUAUAGAUGUAGGAGAGGCCCUGAAACCUGGGAGCUAAUGGGGUCUCCUGCCUGGAAUUUGCAGGGAGGUUACAUUCCUGAAAUGAGAAUGUAUGAGAAACAGCAGAAAUGAGAAACAGCAUCGCUGCUUCCUGAGGGCUGUUACUGACAUGAACGAUUCUCUAGUACUUGGAUGCAAAAUGUGCUUUAAUAAAUAGAAGGUGACAAGA